rnacentral:rRNA from 1 species
AUGUAUCUUGCGAUUCUUUGUGUGCCGGUUACAUCUGCGGGUACGGCUGCACGAGUUCAUGUCUGUCAUUCACACAUGCAAAUUGUGAUGCCUGCUGCUUGCGACAGUUUCGCCCCUGUUGGAUUCAAACUUGGUUCUGAAAAGCACACCACAGAGGUCACCGUGAAGAAGUCUGGAAGCCUGCUUAUAAAUUCUGGGAUACAAGGAUACUCCCUGCUAAAGACAACUCAGUCUGGAUUUGAAGGAUUCAUGAGGGAUCGCUACACUCUUCUUCCUGAAACAAGAGAAAGAAUUGUAGCUACAGAAGUAACUGCUUGGUGGAGAUGA